AUGCUUGGAGGGAACAAAAACACAAAGAAGGCUUUGAAGUUGCCACAUGAGAAGAACAAGGAGCCGAUGAAAGCACUUCGUAUCUUGUCAGGGAUUGAGAUCGAUGAAGACUCAUCAGCUGUAGCAAGCCUUCAUCAGCUGACAGGGCUAAGGAAACUUGCCAUUUACAAGAUCAAUAUAAGGGAGGGCGGUCAGACCUUCAAGCAAUUACGCCCCUCCAUUGAGUACCUCUGUAGCUGCGGUCUGCAGACAUUGGCAAUCAAUGAUGAGAGCUCUAAUUUUAUCAACUCACUAGACACCAUGACCACUCCAAGAUACAUCAUCGGCCUAGAGGUGUCUGGCAAGAUGGAAAGGCCCCCAAAGUGGAUCAAAGACCUCAAGAACCUCUACAAGCUGACCCUUUCCGUGACAGUUCUUCGGACUAAUACUUUAAGGCUCAUCCAGGACCUGCCCAAAUUGUUUACGCUCACCUUUACACUCAGCACAGCCAAGGAUGAUAGAGACAUAGUGGACAUCCUUGAGGAAAAUAAGCAGCUUACCGACAGGGAGAUCAUUAUUCCACCUGGGGGAUUCAAGAGACUAAAGCUUCUUCGCUUCUUUGCAACUAUGGUGCCAAGGCUGAGCUUUGCAGUUACAUGA
rnacentral:rRNA from 1 species